CCUAAAGCUUGACGAGACCUCUUCAAUGGUACGGAAUGUUCACCAAAUGUCUUUCAGUUGCGAGCGGACCUCUGCACGAAGUGGAACAAAAAUUAAAAACUAAAAAGAUGUACGCGAAAGAAAUAAGAUUUUCAACUAAAAAUAGUGCCUAAAUUUUGAAAUUAUUAUAAUUUUUUAAUAACGACAAACGCUGCUAAACGACGAAUUUCUAAACUAACUUAAUCAAAAAAAAGUUAAGCAAAA